AGAGUUUGAUCAUGGCUCAGGAUGAACGCUAGCUACAGGCUUAACACAUGCAAGUCGAGGGGCAGCAUGGUCUUAGCUUGCUAAGGCCGAUGGCGACCGGCGCACGGGUGAGUAACACGUAUCCAACCUGCCGUCUACUCUUGGACAGCCUUCUGAAAGGAAGAUUAAUACAAGAUGGCAUCAUGAGUUCACAUGUUCACAUGAUUAAAGGUAUUCCGGUAGACGAUGGGGAUGCGUUCAUUAGAUAGUAGGCGGGGUAACGGCCCACCUAGUCUUCGAUGGAUAGGGGUUCUGAGAGGAAGGUCCCCCACAUUGGAACUGGAGACACGGUCCAAACUCCUACGGGAGGCA
rnacentral:rRNA from 1 species